AAUUUGCGUUAGGGAUUGAAAAGGAAAGCCCACAGCCUGACGAAGGAAGUGCGAGGACUUGUAUUGUAAAGCCCGACCCUAU
rnacentral:misc_RNA from 1 species